rnacentral:rRNA from 1 species
CCUACGGGGGGCAGCAGUGGGGGAUAUUGCACAAUGGGGGAAACCCUGAUGCAGCGACGCCGCGUGUGGGAAGACGGUCCUCUGGAUUGUAAACCACUGUCCCCAGGGACGAAGAUGACGGUACCUGGGGAGGAAGCUCCGGCUAACUACGUGCCAGCAGCCGCGGUAAUACGUAGGGAGCAAGCGUUGUCCGGAAUUACUGGGUGUAAAGGGAGCGUAGGCGGGAUGGCAAGUUGGGUGUUAAAUCUACCGGCUCAACUGGUAGUCGCACUCAAAACUGCUAUUCUUGAGUGAAGUAGAGGCAGGCGGAAUUCCUAGUGUAGCGGUGAAAUGCGUAGAUAUUAGGAGGAACACCAGUGGCGAAGGCGGCCUGCUGGACCGCGACUGACGUUGAGGCUCGAAAGCGUGGGGAGCGAACAGGAUUAGAUACCCUGGUAGUC